CCUACGGGAGGCAGCAGUAGGGAAUCUUCCACAAUGGGCGAAAGCCUGAUGGAGCAACGCCGCGUGGGUGAAGAAGGUCUUCGGAUCGUAAAACCCUGUUGUUAGAGAAGAAAGUGCGUGAGUGUAACUGUUAUCGUUUCGACGGUAUCUAACACGAACGCCACGGCUAACUACGUGCCAGCAGCCGCGGUACUACGUAGUUGGCAAGCGUUAUCCGGAUUUCGUGGGCGUAAAGGGAACGCAGGCGGUCUUUUAAGUAUGAUGUGAAAGCCUUCGGCUUAACCGGGGUAGUGCAUUGGAAACUGUGAGACUUGAGUGCAGAUGAGGAGAGUGGAACUCCAUGUGUAGCGGUGAAAUGCGUAGAUAUAUGGAAGAACACCAGUGGCGAAGGCGGCUCUCUGGUCUGUAACUGACGCUGAGGUUCGAAAGCGUGGGUAGCAAACAGGAUUAGAUACCCGAGUAGUC
rnacentral:rRNA from 1 species